rnacentral:RNase_P_RNA from 1 species
GUAAACCAGACAGUCGCGGUCAGAAGCCGAAAGGCUCUGUCCGAGGAAAGUCCGGGCUUCACAGAGCAAGGAUAACGGCUAACGGCCGCCGAGGGUGACCUUAGGGAAAGUGCAACAGAAAAUUACCGCGAAUCGUCAUGGCGCAGUCCGUGACGACGUAAGGGUGGAAAGGCGAGGUAAGAGCUCACCGGGAUGGGGGAGACCUCAUCGCCGUGUAAACCCUAUCCGAAGCAACACCGUGGAGGGACGACAGGCCUGCUCGGCUGUCCCGUGGAGGUGGCACCGAGCCGCUGCGGCAACGCGCGGCCAAGAUAGAUGACUGUCUAAUACAGAACCCGGCUUACAGAUUUACUCA